rnacentral:rRNA from 1 species
GAGUUUGAUCGUGGCUCAGGACGAACGCUGGCGGCGUGCUUAACACAUGCAAGUCGAACGGAAAGGCCCUGCUUGCAGGGUACUCGAGUGGCGAACGGGUGAGUAACACGUGGGUGAUCUGCCCUGCACUUCGGGGAUAAGCUUGGGAAACUGGGUCUAAUACCGGAUAGGAGCCAUCUUUAGUGUGGUGGUUGGAAAGUUUUUCG